AUACGUAGGGGGCGAGCGUUGUCCGGAAUGACUGGGCGUAAAGGGCGCGUAGGCGGCUCGAUAAGUUGGAUGUGAAAUACCCGUGCUUAACAUGGGGGUUGCAUUCAAGACUGUCGAGCUGGAGUGCAGGAGAGGAAAGCGGAAUUCCCAGUGUAGCGGUGAAAUGCGUAGAGAUUGGGAGGAACACCAGUGGCGAAGGCGGCUUUCUGGACUGUAACUGACGCUGAGGCGCGAAAGCGUGGGGAGC
rnacentral:rRNA from 1 species